AACGGCUACCACAUCCAAGGAAGGCAGCAGGCGCGCAAAUUACCCACUCCCGGCACGGGGAGGUAGUGACGAAAAAUAACAAUACGGGACUCUUUUGAGACCCCGUAAUUGGAAUGAGUACACUCUAAAUCCUUUAACGAGGAUCUAUUGGAGGGCAAGUCUGGUGCCAGCAGCCGCGGUAAUUCCAGCUCCAAUAGCGUAUAUUAAAGUUGUUGCGGUUAAAAAGCUCGUAGUUGGAUCUCAGUUCCAGACGGGCGGUCCGCCUAACGGUGGUUACUGCCUGGCCUGAACAGCCAGCCGGUUUCCCUAGAUGAUCUUCACCGGUUGUCUUGGGUGACCGGCACGUUUACUUUGAAAAAAUUAGAGUGCUCAAAGCAGGCGUGUAGCCUGAAUAAUGGUGCAUGGAAUAAUGGAAUAGGACUUCGUUUCUAUUUUGUUGGUUUUCGGAACACGAGGUAAUGAUUAAGAGGGACAGACGGGGGCAUUCGUAUUGCGACGCUAGAGGUGAAAUUCUUGGACCGUCGC
rnacentral:rRNA from 1 species